CCGGAUCUCAGAUCAAGCA
rnacentral:rRNA from 2 species